rnacentral:rRNA from 1 species
UGAACGCUGGCGGCGUGCCUAAUACAUGCAAGUCGAGCGAACAGAUGAGGAGCUUGCUCCUCUGACGUUAGCGGCGGACGGGUGAGUAACACGUGGAUAACCUACCUAUAAGACUGGGAUAACUUCGGGAAACCGGAGCUAAUACCGGAUAAUAUAUUGAACCGCAUGGUUCAAUAGUGAAAGACGGUUUUGCUGUCACUUAUAGAUGGAUCCGCGCCGCAUUAGCUAGUUGGUAAGGUAACGGCUUACCAAGGCAACGAUGCGUAGCCGACCUGAGAGGGUGAUCGGCCACACUGGCACUGAGACACGGUCCAGACUCCUACGGGAGGCAGCAGUAGGGAAUCUUCCGCAAUGGGCGAAAGCCUGACGGAGCAACGCCGCGUGAGUGAUGAAGGUCUUCGGAUCGUAAAACUCUGUUAUUAGGGAAGAACAAAUGUGUAAGUAACUAUGCACGUCUUGACGGUACCUAAUCAGAAAGCCACGGCUAACUACGUG